rnacentral:rRNA from 1 species
UACGUAGGGCGCGAGCGUUGUCCGGAAUUAUUGGGCGUAAAGAGCUCGUAGGCGGCCUGUUGCGUCCGCUGUGAAAUCCCGGGGCUCAACCCCGGGCUUGCAGUGGAUACGGGCUGGCUAGAGGCAGGCAGGGGAGAACGGAAUUCCCGGUGCAGCGGUGAAAUGCGCAGAUAUCGGGAGGAACACCGGUGGCGAAGGCGGUUCUCUGGGCCUGUACUGACGCUGAGGAGCGAAAGCGUGGGGAGCGAACAGG